UCUAAGGGGACUGCCGGUGAGUAAGCCGAGAGGAAGUGGGGAUGACGUCAAGCCUCAUGGCCCUUACGGGCUGGGCUACACACGUGCUACAAUGGUGGUGACAGUGGGCAGCGAGCACGCGAGCGUGAGCUAAUCUCCAAAAGCCAUCUCAGUUCGGAUUGCACUCUGCAACUCGAGUGCAUGAAGUUGGAAUCGCUAGUAAUCGCGGAUCAGCAUGCCGCGGUGAAUACGUUCCCGGGCCUU
rnacentral:rRNA from 1 species